rnacentral:rRNA from 1 species
GACGGAGGGUGCUAGCGUUGUUCGGAAUGACUGGGCGUAAAGGGCGCGUAGGCGGCCGGUUGCGUCGGAUGUGAAAGCCCGGGGCUCAACCCCGGAAUGCCAGUGGAAACUGUCGGGCUAGAGUCCGGAAGAGGCGAGUGGAAUUCCUGGUGUAGCGGUGAAAUGCGCAGAUAUCAGGAAGAACACCCGUGGCUAAGGCGGCUCUCUAGUACGGUACUGACGCUGAGACGCGAAAGCGUGGGGAGCGAACAGG